UACGUAGGGUGCAAGCGUUGUCCGGAAUUAUUGGGCGUAAAGAGCUUGUAGGCGGUUUGUCGCGUCUGCUGUGAAAUUUCGGGGCUCAACCCCGAACUUGCAGUGGGUACGGGCAGACUAGAGUGUGGUAGGGGAGACUGGAAUUCCUGGUGUAGCGGUGAAAUGCGCAGAUAUCAGGAGGAACACCAAUGGCGAAGGCAGCACUCUGGGACGUGACUGACGCUGAGACGCGAAAGCGUGGGGAGCGAACAGG
rnacentral:rRNA from 1 species